GACGAACGCUGGCGGCAUGCCUAAUACAUGCAAGUCGAGCGGACAGAAGGGAGCUUGCUCCCGAAAGUCAGCGGCGGACGGGUGAGUAACACGUGGGCAACCUGCCCCUUAGAUUGGGAUAACUUCGGGAAACCGAAGCUAAUACCGAAUAAUACAAGGAACCUCCUGGUUCUCUGUUGAAAGAUGGCCUUUGUGCUGUCACUAAGGGAUGGGCCCGCGGCGCAUUAGCUAGUUGGUAAGGUAACGGCUUACCAAGGCAGCGAUGCGUAGCCGACAUGAGAGGGUGGUGGUCCACGCGAGGACUGAGACACGGCCAAGACUCCUACGGGAGGCAGCAGUAGGGAAUCUUCCGCAAUGGACGAAAGUCUGACGGAGCAAUGCCGCGUGAGUGAGGAAGGCCUUCGGGUCGUAAAGCUCUUUUGUGAGGGAAGAACAAGUACCGGCGUAACUACCGGUACCGUGACGGUACCUCACCAGAAAGCCACGGCUAACUACGUGCCAGCCGCCGCCGUAA
rnacentral:rRNA from 1 species